rnacentral:rRNA from 2 species
GAAUCUCAAUAGCGGAUAUCUCGUCUCUUGCAUCGAUGAAGAAUCUAGCGAAAUGUGAUACUUGGUGCAGAAUCCCGUGAACCAUGGAGUCUUUGAACGCAAGUUGCGCCCGAAGCCAUUAGGUCGAGGGCAAGUCUGCCUAGGUGUCA